rnacentral:rRNA from 1 species
CGGAUGUGAUCGUUUUUCCUUAUGGCGAAUCGAUUAAAGGUGACCUCUUCGUGAAAGUUGCCGUUUGAGGAUGGGCUUGCGGGCCAUUAGCUUGUUGGUAGGGUAACGGCCUACCAAGGCGACGAUGGCUAGCCGACCUGAGAGGGUGAUCGGCCACAUUGGGACUGAGAUACGGCCCAGACUCCUACGGGAGGCAGCAGUAGGGAAUUUUGCGCAAUGGACGAAAGUCUGACGCAGCAACGCCGCGUGAGGGAUGACGGCCUUCGGGUUGUAAACCUCUGUUGAGUGGGAAGAAAAAUUCUGGAGUUAAUACCUUCAGGACAUGACGGUACCACUCGAGGAAGCUCCGGCUAACUACGUGCCAGCAGCCGCGGUAAUACGUAGGGGGCAAGCGUUGUUCGGAAUCACUGGGCGUAAAGGGAGCGUAGGCGGAAGGUAAGUUAGGAGUGAAAUACCCAGGCUCAACCUGGGGCCCGCUCUUAAUACUGUCUUUCUUGAGUAUGGAAGAGGGAAACGGAAUUCCAGGUGUAGCGGUGGAAUGCGUAGAUAUCUGGAAGAACACCAGUUGCGAAGGCGGUUUCCUGGUCCAAUACUGACGCUGAGGCUCGAAAGCUAGGGGAGCAAACAGGAUUAGAUACCCUGGUAGUCCUAGCUGUAAACGAUGGACACUAGAUGCCGGAGGAGUCAAUCCUUUCGGUGUCGCAGCUAACGCAUUAAGUGUCCCGCCUGGGGAGUACGCUCGCAAGGGUGAAACUCAAAGGAAUUGACGGGGGCCCGCACAAGCGGUGGAGUAUGUGCUUUAAUUCGAUGCAACGCGAAGAACCUUACCUGGGUUUGACAUGGGGAUGAAAGUCACCAGAGAUGGAGGCCUUUCCUUCGGGAACAUCCUACACAGGUGCUGCAUGGUUGUCGUCAGCUCGUGUCGUGAGAUGUUGGGUUAAGUCCCGCAACGAGCGCAACCCUUGUCCUUAGUUGCCAUCAGGUAAAGCUGGGAACUCUAAGGAGACUGCCUGGAUUAACCAGGAGGAAGGUGGGGAUGACGUCAAAUCAUCAUGGCCCUUACGCCCAGGGCUAGACACGUACUACAAUGGGUGGUACAAUGGGAUGCGAGGUCGCAAGGUUGAGCUAAUCCCAUAAAACUAUCCUCAGUUCGGAUUGGAGUCUGCAACUCGACUCCAUGAAGUUGGAAUCGCUAGUAAUCGCGGAUCAGCAUGCCGCGGUGAAUACGUUCCCGGGCCUUGUACACG